rnacentral:rRNA from 1 species
AACUCUUAGCGGUGGAUCACUCGGCUCGUGCGUCGAUGAAGAACGCAGCUAGCUGCGAGAACUAAUGUGAAUUGCAGGACACAUUGAUCAUCGACACUUCGAACGCACCUUGCGGGCUACGCCUGUCUUAAGUCG